CUCGCUGACCCUCUACCUCCCAUUAGAUCAGGUCUGAGUUGAUCUAGAUCUUCCAUCGCUGACCUAUAGCCGCCGAGCUCCUUCCCUAACCACUUCACCAUCUCCGCCGCCUCCAUCUCCAGCCUUUACAUCGCCAUCAAGAACAGCCUCGAUGUCGAACCCACAAGCCCUCCAUCUCCGCCUCCAUUGCGCUAACCCUCUUCCUUUAAAACAAAAACAUAAACCCAUUGCCGCCACAACCACCAUCAGAGCCGAACCCACAAGCCCAAACCUCUUCCUUUUCCUCUUCUCCAGAUGGGUUUGUGAUCGAAGAGACAAAUGGGUCAUUGAACCAACCGACAGUGGUGGUUGAAGAAAAGAAGCUGAAUCGGACAGCUGAGCUCGCUGCUUCGACUGGUGGAGCUUUGGCACUCGCUAUGCUUUGUAACAAAGCUCACUCACUCUAAACUCUCUCUCUCUCUCUCUAAAACCCUCCCCAAACCCUAGCCUCCUCCUCUCUCUCUCUCUUGCUUCCAUGGAGUUUUGGGGUUUUUGGGUAGCCAUUGCAGGCGAGCUAGCCUGUGGUGUCUACUUCUAGAGUUUCCUCCAUUGCAGAGAAAGAGUUACCAAUGGAGCAAGAGCAAUGUCACAUUUGUAGAGUUACAAGAAAUAUGGGAGACAUAAGCUGAGAGAGUUUGGAAAAAAGAUCAUGGAUCUUUGUUUGAA